rnacentral:rRNA from 1 species
AUUGAACGCUGGCGGCAGGCCUAACACAUGCAAGUCGAACGAGUGGCGGACGGGUGAGUAAUGUCUGGGAAACUGCCCGAUGGAGGGGGAUAACUACUGGAAACGGUAGCUAAUACCGCAUACCAUCGGAUGUGCCCAGAUGGGAUUAGCUAGUAGGUGGGGUAACGGCUCACCUAGGCGACGAUCCCUAGCUGGUCUGAGAGGAGGACAAGCCACACUGUAACUGAGACAGGGUCCAGACUCCUAAGGGAGGCAGCAGGGGGGAAUAUUGAACAAGGGGCGAAAGCCUGAUGCAGCCAUGCCGCGUGUAUGAAGAAGGCCUUCGGGUUGUAAAGUACUUUCAGCGAGGAGGGGUUACUCGCAGAAGAAGCACCGGCUAAUUCCGUGCCAGCCGCCGCGGUAAUAC